GGUAACAUCAAAUCGUACCCCAAACCGACACAGGUGGUCAGGUAGAGAAUACCAAGGCGCUUGAGAGAACUCGGGUGAAGGAACUAGGCAAAAUGGUGCCGUAACUUCGGGAGAAGGCACGCUGACACGUAGGUGAAGUGAUUUACUCACGGAGCUGAAGUCAGUCGAAGAUACCAGCUGGCUGCAACUGUUUAUUAAAAACACAGCACUGUGCAAACACGAAAGUGGACGUAUACGGUGUGACGCCUGCCCGGU
rnacentral:rRNA from 1 species